AUUGAACGCUGGCGGCAGGCCUAACACAUGCAAGUCGAGCGAGCGGCGGACGGGUGUGUAAAGUAUGGGGAGCUGCGCGAUAGAGGGGGAUAACAACUGGAAACGGUAGCUAAUACAGCAUACUAUCGGAUGAACCCAUAUGGGAUUAGCUAUUUGGUGAGGUAAUGGCUCACCAAGGCGACGAGCCCUAGCUGGUCUGAGAGGAUGAUCAGCCACACUGGGACUGAGACACGGCCCAGACUCCUACGGGAGGCAGCAGUGGGGAAUAUUGCACAAUGGGCGCAAGCCUGAUGCAGCCAUGCCGCGUGUGUGAAGAAGGCCUUCGGGUUGUAAAGCACUUUCAGCGGGGAGGCGUUACUCGCAGAAGAAGCACCGGCUAACUCCGUGCCAGCAGCCGCGGUAAUAC
rnacentral:rRNA from 1 species